AUUGAACGCUGGCGGCAGGCCUAACACAUGCAAGUCGAGCGGAUGAGAAGAGCUUGCUCUUCGAUUCAGCGGCGGACGGGUGAGUAAUGCCUAGGAAUCUGCCUGGUAGUGGGGGACAACGUUUCGAAAGGAACGCUAAUACCGCAUACGUCCUACGGGAGAAAGCAGGGGACCUUCGGGCCUUGCGCUAUCGGAUGAGCCUAGGUCGGAUUAGCUAGUUGGUGAGGUAAUGGCUCACCAAGGCGACGAUCCGUAACUGGUCUGAGAGGAUGAUCAGUCACACUGGAACUGAGACACGGUCCAGACUCCUACGGGAGGCAGCUGUGGGGAAUAUUGGACAAUGGGCGAAAGCCUGAUCCAGCCAUGCCGCGUGUGUGAAGAAGGUCUUCGGAUUGUAAAGCACUUUAAGUUGGGAGGAAGGGCAGUAAGUUAAUACCUUGCUGUUUUGACGUUACCGACAGAAUAAGCACCGGCUAACUCUGUGCCAGCCGCCGCAGUAAAAC
rnacentral:rRNA from 1 species